UACGUAGGGUGCAAGCGUUGUCCGGAAUUAUUGGGCGUAAAGAGCUCGUAGGCGGUCUGUCGCGUCGGCUGUGAAAACCCGGGGCUCAACCUCGGGCCUGCAGUGGGUACGGGCAGACUAGAGUGCGGUAGGGGAGAUUGGAAUUCCUGGUGUAGCGGUGGAAUGCGCAGAUAUCAGGAGGAACACCGAUGGCGAAGGCAGAUCUCUGGGCCGUAACUGACGCUGAGGAGCGAAAGCGUGGGGAGCAAACAGG
rnacentral:rRNA from 1 species